GGUGGCUCAGUGGUAGAGCGCUUGCCUAGCAUGCAAGAGGCCCUGGGUUCGAUUCCUCAGUACCA
rnacentral:tRNA from 1 species